UACGUAGGGUGCAAGCGUUGUCCGGAAUUAUUGGGCGUAAAGAGCUCGUAGGCGGCCAGUUGCGUCCGCUGUGAAAUCCCGGGGCUUAACCCCGGGCGUGCAGUGGAUACGGGCUGGCUAGAGGCAGGCAGGGGAGAACGGAAUUCCCGGUGUAGCGGUGAAAUGCGCAGAUAUCGGGAGGAACACCGGUGGCGAAGGCGGUUCUCUGGGCCUGUACUGACGCUGAGGAGCGAAAGCGUGGGGAGCAAACAGG
rnacentral:rRNA from 1 species